rnacentral:lncRNA from 1 species
UAAUCAGUAGUGAGAGUCUUUCCUACCUCAAUCAGUGAUGGCUGACAUAAUAACUUUUCGAAGGAAAUCUGGAAUGUUUGCUGCAUGAAGGGAGACAUCUAUAAAUUCUCAUAUCGCCCUAUCAUAGGCCUUCUCUAAAUCUAUCUUGAUGGCCAUCCAUCUUUUGUGUUUGCUUCUCAUGGAAUGAAUAACUUCUUGGGUGACUAUGAUAUUGUCAAUAAUGUUCCUUUCAGCAAUAAAACUCGCCUGUUCAGGGCAAUUGAUUCUAGGAAAAACAACCUUAAAUCAGUUCGGAAUGAUCUUUAUGACUUGCUUGUAAAGAACUGAACACAAGUUUAUUGGGCGAAAUUAUGCAAAGUUCGUGCAAUUAAAGGGUAGAAGGGAUAUAUCAAAGGGUACUUUAUUGUUAUGGAAUUAAAAGGUAGAAUGAGAAAAAUUCGUGGAAGGGAGCUGAAGAUUGAGGAAUCAAAGCUAAAAGGUAAACAAAUUGAAGCUAGAAGUUGAGAUGACGUUGAAGCUUGAAGCUGAAAUAAUGUAGCUGUUCAACCCACUUAGCCAUUUCUGAGAUGAUGACUUGCAUGACUCAGCAAGCAAGAAAAGGGCUAAAUUCUGUUAUGCAAUUUUCUUAUAAAAUGUACCAGCAAUAUAGUACUAGAAUGUAUUGAAGGAUUAUGAAUAAAAUAUCAAGAAAAAUAUCUCUUUUCUCUAAAUUAUUCUCUGCUUCUCUUUUUCUGUCAUUCUUUCUUUUUUCCCUCGUCAUUUCAUCCAACACCUUACUUGCACAACAAACAAUUUCUCUCUAUCAUUUCUUUGGGAAAAUUUAACAUUUCUCGAGAAAGAAAUGAACAAUUGCAAAUGGCACCACCCUAGGAAACUAAACAGGUAUUGAAACCCAAAGGAGAUGGUAAUGGCGACUUCUUAUGCCAUGAUUGCAAUCAAUAUUUUAGUACUUUGGAUGAGAUAAGACACGGUGUGGUUGUGGUGCAUGGUUUGAUAUGUGUAUGAUGAAAAAGAACUGAGUUGCUGAGUUGAAAAAGAAAGAGGAGGCUCAGAAGGAGCAGAGGAAACAUGACAAAAAGAAUAGAAACUUGGCUAAAGAAAUGCAAAGAAGAAGAAGAAGAAGAAAGAAAGAAAGAAAGAAACAGAAACAGAGAUAGAAACAAAGUGAGAACAAGAACAAAAACAAGGAGGAGAAGCAAAAGAAGAAAUCUGCCUCUAAAAAAUGUAUUAAAAGUUUUAAUAAUUUCUCUUAAAAGGUUUUUGUGAUUUUCUGUAAAUAUUAGUAUUGUACUGGUUUUCAUUCUUAUUUCAGGCAGCCAGAAAUAAGAAGAUCCAGGCAAAUAAGAAGCUUAAGAAUCUCCACAAUGCUUGAGAAUGUCAAUGAGAGAGAGGUGGGAUGGUGAUUGUGAUUGUGAUUGUUAUUUUUAUUUUAUUUUAUUUUUUAUGAAUGUGUUUCUAUCAACAUGAUAGUGAAGAGUAAAAUGACUUACCAACUGACGCAUGUUUUCCUGUUGACUCAACCCAUUUUACUAAAACAAACACCAGGAAAUUAUGAAUACAUUUUCCAAAUGUAUCAAAGACACCCUAACUGUUAUGUUUCAUCUUUGCUUCUUCAAUAUCAUUCUUUCCACAAUACAUUAUUUGAUUCUUGUUAUUAACUCUAAUGCAUGGAAACUAAGACCUAAUAUGGGGUUUGUGAUCUUUUUAUUUGAUUGUAAUUUGAGAUUUUUUAAGCUUAUAUUAUUUUUCAUUGGAUAAAUUAACUAUAUAUUAUUUUCAAUUUCAUUGGUUUGAUAAUAUUAAUUAUGCAUCACUUUCAAAUCUUACUUUAAAAUAAUGACUUUGAGAGCUUUUUUGAUGGCACUAAAAUUAUUAACAUAGCUACCAAAUUUGAGACCAUUGACUUGAUUUAAUGGAUGAAAAAAUGCUCUGUAUUCCAAGCAAAUCACAAACAGGUAAUGUGACAAAGGACACCCAUGCUUGAUGCCCUUAACUAGACUGAAGGCACUCCAUUCCAUAGAAUCUCUAUAGUUGAACUCGUGAUGGCCAACAUAAUAACUUUUCGAAGGAAAUCUGGAAUGCUUGCCGCCUGAAGGGAGGCAUCUAUAAAUUCCAUCUCACCCUAUCAUAGGCCUUCUCCAAAUCGAUCUUAAUAACCAUCCAUAUUUUGUGUUUGCUUCUCAUGGAAUAAAUAACUUCUUGGACGACUAUGAUAUUGUUAGUGAUGUUCCUUCCAGCAAAAAAACCCACCUGUUCUAGGUCAAUGAUUCUAGGAAAAACAACCUUAUAUUUGUUCGGAAUGGUAUUUAUGACUUGCAUGUAAAGAACUGAACACAAGUUUAUUGGGCGAAAUUGUGCAAACUUUGUGCAAUUAAAGGGUAGAAGGGAUAUAUUAGAGGGUACUUUAUUGUCAUGGAAUUAACAGGCAUAAUAGCUUAUCCAAAUCUAUCUUGAUGGCCAUCCAUCUUUUGUGUUUGCUUCUCAUGGAUGAAUAACUUCUUGGGCGAUUAUGAUAUUGUUAGUGAUAUUACUUCCAGAAAUAAAACCCGCAUUUUCUGGGCCAAUGAUUCUAGGAAAAACAACCUUAUAUCUAUUCAGAAUGAUCUUUAGGACCUGCUUGUAAAGAACUGAACACAAGUUUAUUGGGUGAAAUUGUGCAAAGUUCUUGCAAUUAAAGGGUAGAAGGGAUAUAUCAAAGGGUAUUUUAUUGUCAUGGAAUUAAAAGGUAGAAUGAGAAAAUUUCGUGGAAGGGAGCUGAAGAUUGAGGAAUCAAAUCUAAAAGGUAAACAAAUUAAAGUUGGAAGCUGAAAUGAUGUUGAAGCUUGAAACUGAAAUAAUGUAGCUGUUCAAGCCAUUUAGUAGUUUAUGAGUUGAUGACUUGCAUGAUUCAACAAGUAAGAGAAGGGCUAAAUUCGAUUAUGCAAUUUUGCUAUGAAAUGUACCACAAAUAUAGUAUUUCAAUGUAUUGAAGGAUUAUGAAUGAACUAUCAGGAAAAAUACCUCUUUUCUCUAAAUUAUUCUCUGCUUCUCUUUUUCUGUCAUUCUUCCUCUUUUCCCUGUCAUUUUAUCCAACACCUUACCUGCACACCAAACAAUUUUUCUUUAUCAUUUUUUUUUUUUACAAUUUCUCUCUAUCAUUUUUUUGUACCCUAUCAUUUCUUUGCGGGAAAAUUAACAUUUCUCGAGAAAGAAAAGAACAGUUGCAAAUGGCGCCACUCAAGUAAACUAAAAAGGUGCCGCAACCCAAGGGAGAUGGUAAUGGCGACUUCUUAUGCCAUGAUUGCAAUCAACAUUUUAGUACUUUGGAUGAGAUGAGACACGGUGUGGCUAUAGUGCAUAGUUUGAUAUGUGUAUGAGGGAAAAGAAUCGAGUUGCUGAGUUGAAAAGGAAAGAGGAGGCUUAGAAGGAGCAGAGGAAACAUGAUGAAAAGAAUAGAAAAUUGGCUAAAGAAAUGAAAACAAGAAGAAGAAGAAAGAAACAGAAACAAAAUGAGAAGAAGAACAAAAAAUCUGCGUCUAAAAAAGGUAUUAAAAGUUUUAAUAAUUUCUCUUAAAAGGUUUUUGUGAUUUUCUGUAAAUAUUAGUAUUGUACUGCAACC